rnacentral:rRNA from 1 species
UACAGAGGUCUCGAGCGUUGUUCGGAUUCAUUGGGCGUAAAGGGUGCGUAGGUGGCGUCGUAAGUCGGGUGUGAAAUUUCGGAGCUUAACUCCGAAACUGCAUUCGAUACUGCGGUGCUUGAGGACUGGAGAGGAGACUGGAAUUUGACGGUGUAGCAGUGAAAUGCGUAGAGAUCGUAAGGAAGACCGUGGCGAAGGCGGGUCUCUGGACAGUUCCUGACACUGAGGCACGAAGGCCAGGGGAGCAAACGGG